AACGAACGCUGGCGGCAGGCUUAACACAUGCAAGUCGAACGCCCCGCAAGGGGAGUGGCAGACGGGUGAGUAACGCGUGGGAAUCUACCCAGUUCUACGGAACAACAGUUGGAAACGACUGCUAAUACCGUAUACGCCCUAAGGGGGAAAGAUUUAUCGGAAUUGGAUGAGCCCGCGUUGGAUUAGCUAGUUGGUGGGGUAAUGGCCUACCAAGGCGACGAUCCAUAGCUGGUCUGAGAGGAUGAUCAGCCACACUGGGACUGAGACACGGCCCAGACUCCUACGGGAGGCAGCAGUGGGGAAUAUUGGACAAUGGGCGCAAGCCUGAUCCAGCCAUGCCGCGUGAGUGAUGAAGGCCUUAGGGUUGUAAAGCUCUUUCAGUAGGGAAGAUAAUGACGGUACCUACAGAAGAAGCCCCGGCUAACUUCGUGCCAGCCGCCGCGGUAAAAC
rnacentral:rRNA from 1 species